UCGCAGCCCGACUUGAGCGGAAAUCCUUUUUUGCUAAGACUUCAAGCUUUAUUUAAACUGAAAUUGUUUGCAAAAAAGAUUGGGAGCGGAAGGCGGAUUAAGC
rnacentral:sRNA from 1 species